GGCCCGUGACCAACGAAAAUGCAGCCCUGGAGGCGGCGAGAAGUGUCCUUCGGGCAGGACUAGUGGGGACUCCCGCGGGGGUCACCCCAGAAGGGAAGCCUCGAUCUUCUCACGUGCUGACUCUCAGCCUCACUUUCCCACUCACCUUCCCAAGUAGGGAUCCCCUAGAACGCGACCCGGCCCGCCUGCGGGAAUGGAGGGCGGGGGAAGGAGAAUGCUCGGCGCCUGCGCACUAGCCCGAAGCCGCGGAUCGGCCCGUCGAGAGCGACGGUAGAGGGCCUGGCGCGUGCCUGCGAAAAGGCGGGAGACGGAAGAGGCUCGAGGCUCGAGGCUCGCGCAUGCGCACACAGUCAACUGCGGACGGAGCGUCGGAGGGGAGGUUACCGCGUUGGUGUGUGGAACGCCUCCCUUGAGACUGGAUUCUGGAGCCUACUGAAAUAGCUCUUUAUCCUCAGCGCCAGAAAAAAAAGACCUCAAACCCUCCCUUUCCGUCCUGCCCCUCCUCUCAGCCGAGGCCACCAUUGCCGGCCCUUCCGGAGCCCCUCAGCUUCUGGACUGGGGCUGCCUUGCCUCCCCUCAGGCUGCUUCAACAACUAGCCCCUCGUUCCACGGACGAGACUUUGCGUGCCCCCUUCGGCCCGAGCGCUGUGGAGCUGGAGCCUGCCCUCCCCCAGGGGCACCAUGGCCUGCGUCAGAGGGGGAAGCAGCGCUGGCGGCUUAGCGGAGUCCCGGGCCCGGCCCGCUCCUAUACUGCUCCCCGCAACUCUCCCUUCGUCCAGCCUCAACCUUGCCCGAGACUUCGGCAGACCCCGCAGCCCCUCUCCCACGCCACCCUUCCUGAGAACACAACCCCCAGGCCACCGAGCCUGGCUGGACUGGAGGCGGCCUGGCAGGGGAGCAAGUGCCUCCCUGCCCGCCCGGGGCGACCUGGAGAGCUCGAGGAUCCCCGAGGCCCGAUGUUCCACCUAGUGGGGAUGGAAACGCCGUGAGGAUGAGGAAACUGAGGCACAGAGAGAGCAAAUGAAAUGCCCAAGUUCACAAAGGUAAUGGUGACGCCUCUGAAGCUAAAACCCAGGUCCAGGUUUCUUAAGUCUGUUGUUUUUCUGCAGCCUUUACAACCCUAAUUCCAUGGUGUAACUUAAAAUGAAGCUGCAUGUUCCUGUAAUAUUGUGUUUCCCAAACCUCAGACAUUUCUGCGCCACCUUUAUGAUGCUUUUUGUAGCUUGUACCACCUCUACUAUUAUUUACUUCUUACCUUUUCUUUAAACAGAUUUAAUUUACAAAACAGCCUCAUCCUCUGCAAUAUUAUCUGUGAGAUUAGGGGCUUGAUACAUGCUUAGAUUUUUUUCUAAGAUGCAUUGACAUAAACAUAACUAUUGAAGUAAAAGCUAAUUUAUGUCCUACCGAAAAUCAAUUUUGGAGAAUAUUGAUACAGUGGAAUAAGCAUGAACUUUACAUCCAGGCAGGUGGACCUGGCAUCAACUACUUGCUCUGUUAGUUAACGAUGUUGUCUCGGCUUCUUUGAUCUUUGGUUCUCUGGUUUGUAAAACGAGAAUAGUAGUAUCCACCUUGCAGAAUUAGGAAUAAAUGAGCUACUGGGGAUGCCCAGUGACCAGUGCCCAAGUAGGUGUUCAGUACAUGAUGGUUAUUAUUGUGGUUAUUAUUGCGGAUUUCUGUCACUCAGUCCCAAAGAGGGUGUCUGUGCUGGAAUGUUAGGUUUGUUGCUUUAUGCUGACCUGUAUGUGUAAAGAAGCUACUCCUACUUGUUAGGAUUCGUGGUAGAUCUAUCAUUAUUUUGACUUCCCUGUUCCACUACAUAUUAACUUUAUGAUUUCGGACAAGUUGCCUAACUUCUGUGUUUCAUUUACCUAAUUUGUAAAAUGGGGCUAAUAAUAGUCCAUUAGUGUGUGCGCAUGCAUCUGUUUCCUAGCUUUGUCCACUAGAGGGCGUAGAAGCACUAGCACCUAGUAGCCAUGGGCAAUACCUUCGUGCCCAUGGUUUGUGAGUACUAUUCUCCAAUGAAAGGAACCAGAGCUCCUUGGAGAAAUGGCUGAUUCCAAGGCAGGCCAGGGAAGUACAAGAUGAGCCCGGAACAUCUUGUGGUAUCAGAAAGUCCGGAACUGCUAAAAAAUGAUAUGUCAAAAAGACAUAGAAGCCUACUUGCAGGAGCUCUCAAUAAUCAAUUCUGAAACAAUAUGAACAACAUAAUAAAUAAUGAUAGUAAUGGGUUAUAAUCCGUAAAUAUCCAUGAGUCUUUACUCAUAUAAACAAAUAAUUCAAUAAAUAAAUGGGGGAGAAGGAGAAGCUUUUUCUUAUAGUAGAAUCCCAAUUAAUAAAUGUAGAAGGAAUGUUGGAAAUAGAUAAUCACCAUUUGGCUAAUACCAUAGUAACAUUUGUUGAAGGUGGGAAUCAUCAAUGGAUUUUAAAAAUUAGUGGGCAAAAGUAUGAUGAGAAGAAACAGGCUAUUUGCAUAGUCUUAAAGUAUCUCUCCACAAGAUACUUAUUAAUUAUAGUGGGGAAAAGAGUAGCUUUACAUUAGAGAAACCUGGCAGACACCACCUUAAGCAAGUGUUCAAAAUGAAUAUCGUCAGUAGUUGGGAAUGAUCAGUAUCGUGGGCCGUCUGAUUUGAUGCAUGGAGAGGGCACACAUGACUUCUGUGGUAUUCUUGCCAAAAAUGCAUAAUCUGAAUUUAAUCAUGAAGAAACAUCAGACAAACCCAAACUG